UUCCAAUACAAAUCCUAUAGUGCCCUCCUUAGGGAUACUUAAAAGCCUGCUUCUAUUUUACUUAUUUCAAAACCAGUGAGUGACUUAGAAGGUCUUCUCUUUUAUUGCAGAUGCGCAGGGCAGCUUCUGAAGAUCAGCAGGCCUGUGCAGCAUCAUCUGAGGGGCCCCAGAAUUAAAGCAACAUGAAACUCUUCAUACUGAGCAUGGCCACUUCCCACUGACCAUGACUCACAAAUGAUGACUACUGGGGGACUAACAGCUGUUUAAAUGCAACAGUAUUAUGACCUUCUGCCAGUCAUAGGUAACACUGUUAUUGCCCCAAGAUAAUUUACUCUCCCAAGUCUCAAGGUUACAUUUCCAUCAUGGAGCCAGUAUUUUCCCUUCCUCAGAUGUUUCUAAUGAUAGCUUUCAGAUGACAUUCCUCCUAUUUGGUCCAGCCUCAGAAUCUCCUCCUACACAGCACAUUUGACCUCUUCCUAUGAGUAUUCAGGCCAUACUCACAGGUGGGAAUUGAAGGGUGAGUACACACUACUAUGUGGUGUUUUUUUCUUUUUAGGCUAAUAUUAUGUUUAAUAAAUGGGA
rnacentral:lncRNA from 1 species